CAGAGCAAUCUGUGUGACUGCGUACCUUUUGUAUAAUGGGUCAGCGACUUAUAUUCUGUAGCAAGGUUAACCGAAUAGGGGAGCCGAAGGGAAACCGAGUCUUAACUGGGCGUUAAGUUGCAGGGUAUAGACCCGAAACCCGGUGAUCUAGCCAUGGGCAGGUUGAAGGUUGGGUAACACUAACUGGAGGACCGAACCGACUAAUGUUGAAAAAUUAGCGGAUGACUUGUGGCUGGGGGUGAAAGGCCAAUCAAACCGGGAGAUAGCUGGUUCUCCCCGAAAGCUAUUUAGGUAGCGCCUCGUGAAUUCAUCUCCGGGGGUAGAGCACUGUUUCGGCAAGGGGGUCAUCCCGACUUACCAACCCGAUGCAAACUGCGAAUACCGGAGAAUGUUAUCACGGGAGACACACGGCGGGUGCUAACGUCCGUCGUGAAGAGGGAAACAACCCAGACCGCCAGCUAAGGUCCCAAAGUCAUGGUUAAGUGGGAAACGAUGUGGGAAGGCCCAGACAGCCAGGAUGUUGGCUUAGAAGCAGCCAUCAUUUAAAGAAAGCGUAAUAGCUCACUGGUCGAGUCGGC
rnacentral:rRNA from 1 species